AUGGGAGUUGGAAAAAGAGUUCCGUUUCAUGAGUUGGUGUGCCUCUCCAUGUUUAAUUUGUAUGAUACACUCUUGGGUGGAGAGAGGCUGAGCCUAAACUCUCUGGCUCUCCUGCUGACCUGAGGCUGUGAUAACGUGUGUUUGUAAAAUUCCAAACGCCACUCUCCCUAUGGCCUUGCACGUGCUCUCCCUGUGCAAGGUGGAGGCUCGAACUCGGAAAGGACUCUACUAGCGAGAGAGCAAGAGAUCCUUCUGUGCUCUCUUAGCAGGCUGGCUCCCGAGAGCACUGGUUGUUAAGAGUCUGCAAGUGUGUAGAACUUCCCUGUUGAAGGCAAAAUGUUCAUUAGAGUUUUUCUUCCAGACAUGGGUAGGAAGCUGAUAGUUUUAUUUUCUUGCCUGGAUUACCAAAGCGAGAUAUUUGAGUUUUGACUUCACAAGCUAAGACAUCACAGUGGGUUCUCUUUAUGAAUGUGAAAAAAAAAACUUAUUUUGUACAGACAGCUUUCCUUUUUGUAACUAAUCCUUUUUACUGGUAAAUAUUGUAAAUUAAAAUGUGCAACUUGAAGGCUGUCUAUGUUAUGUUUCCGUACCUCUGCUGUGCUGUGUUAUAUGAUGUAAUUUAUGUGACUGUCUUCACUGGAUCAGUUUUAUGUGAUCUCCAGUAGUUUUUGAUUAGCAGGACACAGCAAGCCUUUUUGUAUAUGAUUGUUGUUCAUAUAUUAGAAAAUGUCAGAAUUCCUGGAAGAAUUAGUACUGAGUUUUCCUUUGUGUGUGUGUGUGUGUGUGUGUGUGUGUGUGUGAGAGAGAGAGAGAGAGAGAGAGAGAGAGAGAGAGAGAGAGAGAGAGAGAGAGAGAAGAGAGAGAGACAGAAGAGAGAGAGAAUAUGAGAGUGUGUAUGUGUGUGUGUAAGAGAAAGUAUGUCUGUGUGUGAGAGAGUGUGAGUGUGUUUAAGAAAGGGUGCCUGAGUGAACUUGUAAGAAAGAGUGUGUGAGUCAGCCGGACAUUGGUGGCACACGCCUUUAGUCCCAGCACUCGGGAGGCAGAGGCAGGCGGAUCUCUGUGAGUUCGAAGCCAGCCUGGUCUCCAGAGUGAGUGCCAGGAAAGGCUCCAAAGCUACACAGAGAAACCCUGUCUCGAAAAACCAAAAAAAAAGAAAAAAGAAAAAAGAGUGUGUGUGUGUGUGUGUGUGUGUGUGUGUGUGUGUGUGUGUGUGUAUGUAUGUAUGUAUGUAUGUAUGUAUGUAUGUAUGUAUUGAUUGGGUCUUGGUAUAUACCCCAGACUGUAAACUUGGCCUUCCAAGUUCUGAAAUUAGAUAUAUACCACCACCUCUAGCUUGGGUUUUUAUUUAAUGAAGCAGGAUGCUUCCAGAUUUUAGGUUUUCACCCAGGGGUGUGAGUGUUGGAACUCUGGAAUUAUACAAACCUUUCUUUAAUAUAAGAACUGCAGACUAGAACACAUAUGCUUAGUUUUUCAUCUUAAUGGUGAGCAGUUUGAGUAUGGCUUCCUGGCCUUGCGAUGCAUUUAUUCCAAGAUAGAGCAACACAAGGAAGCAGAGCUGUGCACCUCCUUUCUCCUAGAGAAAUAAUGGAACAAGAAGAAGGAAAGACCCUAUUUAUUUGUGAAGACAGGACAUUGCCAGUCUUGUGAUGUUCUGCUACAUUUGAACAGUGCUAAUAGGCAAUGUUGCAGUUGCCAGCAUCUUCCUUGCCGGCGGUGUAAGGUCCACGCUGUUUGACAUUUUCAGUAGUAACAAUACUGAAUAAUGAAGCUUGUUAACCCUUGGGAAAAGGUGUCCAUUUAGCCCUCGCCGCCAGUCACCCUGGAAGAUGUCGUCUUUGGCCCUGGGUUGCUGGGGAUACCAGGCUCGGAGGCAGCCAGUGACCUUGCUGAACCCAAG
rnacentral:lncRNA from 1 species